ACAGACAUUAUCAUAAAUAUCUAAAGGCGAGUAAAAUGGAGGCAAGUUUAAACAACAAAUUUCAACCCAUUUCAUAAUGUUUCCAAUUUAUUUCUUAAACCAUAAAAUAUUUGUAAUUUACCAAAACAGUUGUUAAGGCUUAUGUCUUUUAUUAAAACAAGGCUCAAGCCAAAACUAAUCCUCGGGGAUACCUUGGCCGAGGUAUCUAACCGAGUCCGUCAAGGGUGUUAAAAUAUUCAAACGUGAAACACAUUUUUUUUUUUAAAACCAGCCGUUCCUUGGCGUUGGCCGAGUUACACAUUCACGUGGGGGUUCGAAGUGAAGUGAGCUCUAAUACUACCUCGGGAGUUACCCUCCUCGCCUCUACAACCGGAGUAACUAUAUAAUUGGGUUUACCGUGCCCCUCUAAUAGGCAGUCCACGGAAACCCGUCACUGCAGUGACUAACCCACCAAUUUUAAUAAAAUUUCGACAGUAUAACGUGGCUUUUAUUUAUUUAUCCAGCCUGCAUAGUAAAACCAACUUACAUAAAUUUCCCAAAUGCACUCACAAAAUAUAGCCACAUAUACUCAUUUCUCAUAAGCCAUUCCUAGGAAAAUAUAUAUUUUUCAAGUCAAUUUGCAGCCUCCAAUUACU
rnacentral:lncRNA from 1 species